UACGGAGGGGACUAGCGUUGUUCGGAAUUACUGGGCGUAAAGCGCACGUAGGCGGAUUUGUAAGUCAGGGGUGAAAUCCCGGGGCUCAACCUCGGAACUGCCUUUGAUACUGCGAAUCUCGAGUCCGGAAGAGGUGAGUGGAAUUCCUAGUGUAGAGGUGAAAUUCGUAGAUAUUAGGAAGAACACCAGUGGCGAAGGCGGCUCACUGGUCCGGUACUGACGCUGAGGUGCGAAAGCGUGGGGAGCAAACAGGG
rnacentral:rRNA from 1 species